GUACCAUAACCGACACAGGUGGGUAAGUAGAGUAUACUAAGGGGCGCGAGAUAACUCUCUCUAAGGAACUCGGCAAAAUAACUCCGUAACUUCGGGAGAAGGAGUGCCUUAUUCUUAAGGUUGCAAUAACAAGAUCCAAGCAACUGUUUAUCAAAAACACAGGUCUCCGCUAAGUCGUAAGACGAUGUAUGGGGGCUGACGCCUGCCCAGUGCCAGAAGGUUAAAGAAGUCGGUUAGCAAUAGCAAAGCUGGUAACUGAAGCCCUGGUGAACGGCGGCCGUAACUAUAACGGUCCUAAGGUAGCGAAAUUCCUUGUCGGGUAAGUUCCGACCCGCACGAAAGGCGUAAUGAUUUGGAUGCUGACUCGGAGAGGGGCUCGGUGAAAUAGACUUGUCUGUGAAGAUGCGGACUACCUGCACCAGGACAGAAAGACCCUAUGAAGCUUUACUGUAACUUGAAAUUGAAAUUGGACUUUAUUCGCGCAGUAUAGGUGGGAGGCGUUGAUUAUAAUCUUGUGGGAUUAUUGGAGCCAUCAGUGAGAUACCACUCUUGUAAUGUUAGAUUUCUAACUUUGAAUCAUUAUCUGGUCAAAGGACAGUUUCAGGCGGGCAGUUUGACUGGGGCGGUCGCCUCCUAAACGGUAACGGAGGCGUACAAAGGUUUCCUCUGAACGGUUAGAAAUCGUAUCUAGAGUGUAAAGGCAUAAGGAAGCUUGACUGUGAGACCUACAAGUCGAGCAGGGACGAAAGUCGGUCUUAGUGAUCUGACGGUACUGAGUGGAAAGGCCGUCACUCAACGGAUAAAAGUUACUCUAGGAUAACAGGCUGAUCUCCCCCAAGAGUUCACAUCGACGGGGAGGUUUGGCACCUCGAUGUCGACUCAUCGCAUCCUGGGGCGGUAGUACGUCCCAAGGGUUGGGCUGUUCGCCCAUGAAAGCGGUACGCGAGCUGGGUUCAGAACGUCGUGAGACAGUUCGGUCCAUAUCCGGUGUAGGCGCUAGAAUAUUGAGAGGAGCCUUCUUUAGUACGAGAGGACCGAGAAGGACAUACCUCUGGUGUACCAGUUAUCGUGCCAACGGUAAACGCUGGGUAGCUAUGUAUGGAGUGGAUAACCGCUGAAAGCAUCUAAGUGGGAAGCCCACCUCAAGAUAAGUAUUCUCAUCACGUAAGUGAGUAAGGUCACGGUAAGACUAACCGUUUGAUAGGCAUUAAGUGUAAGUACAGUAAUGUAUGUGCUGAGAUGUCCUAAUAGACCGAGGACUUG
rnacentral:rRNA from 1 species